CAGCAGCCGCCGCGGUAAUACGGAGGGUGCAAGCGUUAAUCGGAAUUACUGGGCGUAAAGCGCACGCAGGCGGUCUGACAAGUCAGAUGUGAAAUCCCCGGGCUUAACCUGGGAACUGCAUUUGAAACUGUCAGGCUGGAGUCUUGUAGAGGGGGGUAGAAUUCCAGGUGUAGCGGUGAAAUGCGUAGAGAUCUGGAGGAAUACCGGUGGCGAAGGCGGCCCCCUGGACAAAGACUGACGCUCAGGUGCGAAAGCGUGGGGAGCAAACAGGAUUAGAUACCCCAGUAGUCCCUGUCUCUUAUAC
rnacentral:rRNA from 1 species